GUUUCCAGGAAUAUAUCCGUUUCUUCUAGUUUAUCCAAUUUGUUGGUGUAUAAAGAUUCAUAGUAUUCUCAUAAUCCUUUUUAUCUCUGUGAUGUCGAUUGUACUUUCUCCACU